UACGGAGGGUGCGAGCGUUGUCCGGAAUCAUUGGGCGUAAAGGGCGCGUAGGUGGCCACUUCAAGCGUGCGGUGAAAGUCGGGGGCUCAACCCCUGAUCGGCCGUGCGAACUGGGGGGCUGGAGCACUGUAGAGGCAGGCGGAAUUCCGGGUGUAGCGGUGGGAUGCGUAGAGAUCCGGAAGAACACCGGUGGCGAAGGCGGCCUGCUGGGCAGUUUUGCUGACACUGAGGCGCGACAGCGUGGGGAGCAAACAGG
rnacentral:rRNA from 1 species